GUCAGCCUGGGAAUCUCUGCACAGGGCUCUGAUGCAUAACUAGAUGUACCCGGUGCGACCGGGCCUUUCGUGCUCCCUGCAGGCAGCAGCUAUUUCACUGUGGCCAAGAACUAGGUGCUGAGAGCAGUGUGGGGCAACUCCUCAGUUCUUCAUGCCUUUUCUUUUUUUUUUUUUUGAAGCAAAGAUCCGCAGAAGCCUUGCAGCUCGAUGUACCAUGCUCCUGCAUUGCACGUGCUUACGUGGGAAGAGGCUUCACCCUGUAAUGAAGACACAUGGAGCUCUGCAGCUCGUUCACCCCUUCUCCAAAUGUCACCAGGAGCAUCGCCGAGCCAAAUCCCUGCAGCUGAACUGGUCUGACUGGUCAAUGAGCACAAGAAGGAAAGCUUGGACGUUUAUCUCCUCCAUCGCCCGGCAGGCUGUCCCUCGGGUUGAAUAAAGACGGUUAUACUAACCUGGUAAUGGAUCCAGUAGAAGCAGCAAGCAGCCUGGUGAUUCCCACUGGGGAUCUAACGGGUGCCUGAGCUCAGCAGGACGUUUGGAGGACCCUCCUGCCUCAAACAGCAGCGGUACAUGGCACAGACUGAGUGCCAAAGGGAUGAUAAUUGUGCCAAAAUAAUAAUUUUGCCUUUUUUUUUUCCUCGUAGAAAGCUGACUCUUUAACAAAGCCACUUGCAGUGCGUGCUUUCACAAGAAAACAACCAACACUCAUUUUGAAAACUCCAAAAUAGCCCCAAGACACGUGAGCUGCACACAUGAGAAGUGUUAGCUCCUCCGGUGCUCUUCCUGUUGCUCUACCCAGUGUCAAACUGGCUCUUACUGCACCGGAGGUUUGUGUUACCUAGGGUCCCCUUUUUUUGUUUUUUUUUUUAACUAUUAGCAUCAGCAAUGCUAGGUCAGGCUGCUGAGAAGAGAGGUUUUACCUGCCAGAGGGACGAGCUCCUGGCAGAUGAAGGCUUAAAGCCCAUUUUACCUGCUGCUUCCCUGGUGCUGCUCUCUCCACUGCAAGGGAUCUCUGCAGCUCUGGACAGGCGUCCACUCGUCAGGGAAGCCAAACCCCAUUUUACUCGGCUUCUUUCAGCUGUCACAGCUUUUGUAAUGCUUUAGCAGGACUUACUGCACUCCCCAAGUUGGAAGUGAGACAAAGAGAAUUUAGAAACCACCACCCCAAGCCUGACUGAAGGUUACCAGCCCCAGAAAGCCACAAACAACCUUCCUCUCCUCAUCUAACACAAC